rnacentral:sRNA from 1 species
CCAAGAAUACAAAAUGCCUCUGGAAUAGUGAAGAAUAGACGAGUCUCAAUGUUUGACAUACACAUCAGACCUCCGACGCUGGGUCUGCUUCUUUAUCUACAUAAACCUUCUGCAUACAACUAAUUCAAGAAACACGAACAAAAAUUACACGGACACCUGCUUACAUUUUCAAACGGUUUUCCAAUCAAGUAAACAUCGACAAAUGAACUGUCAACAUAUUUUUUCAAUAAGAAACCUCUGGAAUAGUGAAGAAUAGACGAGUCUCAAUGUUUGACAUACACAUCAGACCUCCGACGCUGGGUCUGCUUCUUUAUCUACAUAAACCUUCUGCAUACAACUAAUUCAAGAAACACGAACAAAAAUUACACGGACACCUGCUUACAUUUUCAAACGGUUUUCCAAUCAAGUAAACAUCGACAAAUGAACUGUCAACAUAUUAUUUCAAUAAGAAACCUCUGGAAUAGUGAAGAAUAGACGAGUCUCAAUAUUUGACAUACACAUCAGACCUCCGACGCUGGGUCUGCUACUUUAUCUACAUAAACCUUCUGCAUACAACUAAUUCAAGAAACACGAACAAAAAUUACACGGACACCUGCUUACAUUUUCAAACGGUUUUCCAAUCAAGUAAACAUCGACAAAUGAACUGUCAACAUAUUAUUUCAAUAAGAAACCUCUGGAAUAGUGAAGAAUAGACGAGUCUCAAUGUUUGACAUACACAUCAGACCUCCGACGCUGGGUCUGCUACUUUAUCUACAUAAACCUUCUGCAUACAACUAAUUCAAGAAAUACGAACAAAAAUUACACGGACACCUGCUUACAUUAAGCAUGAAGAAACCAC